CACGUAGUUAGCCGGUGCUUCUUAUCUAGGUACCGUCACACAAAGUUUCGUCCCUAGCGAAAGGAGUUUACAACCCGAAGGCCUUCAUCCCCCACGCGGCGUCGCUGCAUCAGGCUUGCGCCCAUUGUGCAAUAUUCCCCACUGCUGCCUCCCGUAGGAGUCUGGGCCGUAUCUCAGUCCCAAUGUGGCCGUACACCCUCUCAGGCCGGCUACCCGUCGCCGCCUUGGUAGGCCAUUACCCCCACCAACAAGCUGAUAGGCCGCGAGCUCAUCCUACACCGAAAAAACUUUCCAACCACCACACUAAAGAUGGCUCCUAUCCGGUAUUAGACCCAGUUUCCCAAGCUUAUCCCGAAGUGCAGGGCAGAUCACCCACGUCGUUACUCCACCCGUUCGCCACUCGAGUACCCUGCCAAGCAGGGCCCUUUCGUUCGACUUGCAUGUGUUAAGCACGCCGCCACGGCGUUCGUCCGUCGAGGCCAGGACUCAAAACGUUCCU
rnacentral:rRNA from 1 species